rnacentral:rRNA from 1 species
UACGUAGGGGCCUAGCGUUGUCCGGAAUUAUUGGGCGUAAAGAGCUCGUAGGCGGUUCGGCAAGUCGGAUGUGAAAUCUCCACGCUUAACGUGGAGGGGCCAUUCGAAACUGCUGUGACUCGAGUCCGGUAGAGGAGUGUGGAAUUCCCGGUGUAGCGGUGAAAUUCGUAGAUAUUCGGAAGAACACCAGUGGCGAAGGCGACUCACUGGACAUGUAUUGACGCUGAGGUGCGAAAGCGUGGGGAGCAAACAGG